AUGAUGGACACCCAAAGCCAGCAGCAGCUGACGAUGAGUGCCAUGAACAGGCCGAAGUCGUGCACGGCCGGGAUCUGGUGUCGGUGAAAUGAAAGACAGGACAAAGGACCCUGAAGCAUUCGACUUAUCAGAUAACCUGAGAGAAUGUGUUGGCGGCGUAAGCAGCUGCGGUCGUGAAGGAGAAUCCUUUUAAAGAGUGACUUCCAUCGUCGUGUGCGCUGCCUCAGUUAACUCACCUAUACCGAUGAUAACAAAGGCCGCGACCCCGUUGAGGAUGCCCAGGUACCUCACUCCGAACACCACGUGGUACAGG